UACGUGGGGUGCGAGCGUUGUCCGGAAUUAUUGGGCGUAAAGAGCUUGUAGGUGGUUUGUCGCGUCUGCCGUGAAAGUCCGGGGCUCAACUCCGGAUCUGCGGUGGGUACGGGCAGACUAGAGUGAUGUAGGGGAGACUGGAAUUCCUGGUGUAGCGGUGAAAUGCGCAGAUAUCAGGAGGAACACCGAUGGCGAAGGCAGGUCUCUGGGCAUUAACUGACGCUGAGGAGCGAAAGCAUGGGGAGCGAACAGG
rnacentral:rRNA from 1 species